UGGGAAUUCAAGAUAUAGCUGGUGCGGAGCUUGUUCACCGUAUAACCGUUGUUCAGCGAAUAAGAGUCGAUCGCGUCACCGAGCAGGUAAAGUUCCGCCGCCUGCUUGAUCUUGGCGAGCGGAACCCAGCGAAGACGGUUCUCGAAACCUGCGGGGUUCCAGCAGACGUGGUAGUUCAGGCCGAUAUCGGUGCGAUGGUAGGGAAGCAUUCCGUCGCCGCCCAUGGCCCCGCCCGGCCCGGAAAUUUGAUGAUCACCCAGUUGACGGGCGGUCGCGCACGCGAAGACGCCGUUGGAACUAUGCGGUGCAUAGUCGUGAUCGUUGGACACGUACUUCCCCAUUUUGAGACGGAUAACCCAACCGCCCAGCUGAGGAUACUGGGCCUCCGGGCCUCCGGGCCCCUCCGGGUAGAACGGAUCGGGCACCGAUUCGAAUUGUCCGUUGAUGCGCGGCGCAAAUCCCUUGUGGUCAUGCGCGUACAUCUGGAUGCCAAGAUAAAUCUGGCGCAUAUUGCUGCCGCACUCUACGGUGCGGGCCUGCUCUUGUGCCCGCUGAAGUGCGGGCAGAAGCAUCGCGACAAGGAGUGCGAUGAUGCCUAUGACGACCAGGAGCUCAACCAGUGUAAAACCGCGCUUUUGGGACCUCAUAUCAGACCUCCCGCCGAUGGAAAUGAAACGGAACAACCGGCCUGCGGAGGCCCGCAAGUACAACCAAGCUCCACAGGAAUGAGGAUGGUUCGGGAACUUGAGCAAUGGCUUGAAAAUCGGCGAAGGCCUGAAGCGAUCCGCCGCUGUAAUUUGAUGCAAGCAGGCCGAGAUCGACCAGAUCGACGUCGCCAUCGUAGU
rnacentral:misc_RNA from 1 species